rnacentral:sRNA from 1 species
UUUCAAAUGCAGCAUCAUCAGGAUUCUCA